rnacentral:rRNA from 1 species
UACGGGGGGGGCAAGCGUUGUUCGGAAUUACUGGGCGUAAAGGGCUCGUAGGCGGCCAACUAAGUCCGACGUGAAAUCCCCAGGCUUAACCUGGGAACUGCGUCGGAUACUGGAUGGCUUGAAUCCGGGAGAGGGAUGCGGAAUUCCAGGUGUAGCGGUGAAAUGCGUAGAUAUCUGGAGGAACACCGGUGGCGAAGGCGGCAGCCUGGACCGGCAUUGACGCUGAGGAGCGAAAGCCAGGGGAGCAAACGGG